UACGUAGGUGGCGAGCGUUGUCCGGAUUUAUUGGGCGUAAAGCGCGCGCAGGUGGUGCGGUAAGUCUGCCGUGAAAUCUCCCGGCUCAACUGGGAGGGGGCGGUGGAGACUGCCGGACUAGAGGGACUCAGAGGCCGGUGGAAUUCCCGGUGUAGUGGUGAAAUGCGUAGAGAUCGGGAGGAACACCAGUGGCGAAGGCGGCCGGCUGGGGGUGCCCUGACGCUGAGGCGGCGAAAGCGUGGGGAGCGAACCGG
rnacentral:rRNA from 1 species